rnacentral:rRNA from 1 species
GAUCCUGGCUUAGGACGAACGCUGGCGGCGUGCUUAACACAUGCAAGUCGAACGGGAGUAUUGAAGAAGCUUGCUUUAGAGAUACUUUAGUGGCGGACGGGUGAGUAACGCGUGAGGAGCUGUCCUAUGCAGGGGGACAACAGCUGGAAACGGCUGCUAAUACCCCAUAAGCCGAGAGGUAAAAGGAUCAAUCCGGCAGAGGAGGUACUCGCGUCCUAUCAGCUAGUAGGUGAGGUAACGGCUCACCUAGGCGAAGACGGGUAGCCGGCCUGAGAGGGCGAACGGCCACACUGGAACUGAGAUACGGUCCAGACUCCUACGGGAGGCAGCAGUGGGGAAUAUUGGGCAAUGGGGGGAAACCCUGACCCAGCGACGCCGCGUGGGUGAAGAAAUCCUUCGGGAUGUAAAGCCCUGUUGUAUGGGAAGAGCGGAAGACGGUACCAUACGAGGAAGCCCCGGCAAACUACGUGCCAGCCGCGGC